AUACGGAGGGUGCAAGCGUUACUCGGAAUCACUGGGCGUAAAGCGCGCGCAGGCGGCUUGGUAAGUUGGAUGUGAAAGCCUACGGCUCAACCGUAGAACUGCAUCCAAAACUGUCAAGCUAGAGUGUGGGAGAGGAAGAUGGAAUUAGUUGUGUAGGGGUAAAUCCGUAGAGAUAACUAGGAAUACCAAAAGCGAAGGCAAUCUUCUGGAACACUACUGACGCUGAGGCGCGAAAGCGUGGGGAGCAAACAGGAUUAGAAACCCUAGUAGUCC
rnacentral:rRNA from 1 species